rnacentral:lncRNA from 1 species
CUUCUUUAGCCCCCUUCAAGGCAUCUUUGUACUCCGCUUCGCAUGUUGAAUCAGUUACCAUGCUUUGCUUGGAACUGCAUCAGCUUACCACACCCUUAUUAAGAAUAAAUACGUAUCCAGUUUGAGGCUUAGAGUCACCCGGAUCAGUGUCAAAGCUUGCAUCGACCUAACCCUGUACGACGAGCUCUUGAUCACCUCCAUACACGAAAAACAUUUCUUUAGUCCUUUUC